UUCAUUUAUCUAUAAAACAAAUAUUUUCAGUGCUAAUAUACUUUGUUGCAGCUUAUCAUUUGUCAUGUUUUGCAGACAUAUCGUGCAUAUCGGAUGUCAGGAUGUCAGCUGGCCAAAAACAAGUUUGAAGAAGUGGGGCAGACCACAGCCCAAGAUAACCUCACGCACAGCGGCACUGACGCACACAGGAGUCCCGACCUUUUAAUUCAGUCAACUUAGUAAGAAUGUGCGCUUGUCUGUGACAGGAAAAACAAUGGCUGAAAAAUACAAAAUAAAAAAACAAAGAUGUGGCAGUGUACAUGUAGUAUCCUGUUUGGUAUGAAGGGUGAAGUUGCAGCCAGAGCGAAGAAGCCUUUAAGACCAGACAGAAGUCUAUCAUAUCCUGUGGUCUACAUACCAGCUGAGAAAUAGGGCAAUGGGUCAAAGUCUGCGCAUAGAGUAAACAAAGAUCAGCAAACUUGCACUUCUGACAAGCUGAAAUUAAAUCAUUUCUUAUUUUCAUCUCUAUUUAUUUCCAUCAAAUGUUGGAAAUUUGCCGACGUGAAAGGUACUUGUAAGGUGAUUUUCAUGCUAAUGCUAAACUUGCAACGCUCAACGUUCAAAACCUUUUUUUUUUUCCACAAAAAGUAAGACUGUAGCUAUUAAAUCUAGUUAAUAUAGUGUGACAAAGAGAUUUUUUCUUUAUAUUUAUUUACUGUUUAAUAAGGCUGUUUGGUGUAGGGGGUGAGUGCUGGAAUGCAUUUACGGUUAGCAGUUUUAGCUGAUGUUAAUUUUCCAGUGCAGUAAAGUGGAGAAAUAUGAACUUUUGUUCAAUCAUUACGGUAUCUUCUUUGUUAGCAUAAAGCAUGUAGCUCUUCUUCUUUGGCCUGUAUGUGACGCUACGUAAGCAUUUUAUAGCCCUGUGUAUAGGCAUAAGUCAACAGCACAUUAGCAGUGCGCUAGCAAGUACAGGGGAUAAAUGCAUCAGUGGCGUUUUAUCUUUUAAAGCUAAGAUGAGCUAACCCUGCUAACAUCCUCAGCUUUGGAUCAUUGCUGUUGUUUUGCCGCUGCCGUAGUAAAUUACUCAAGUGAUUAUUUGAAUUUUUUUAUUAUUAUUAUUUGGGAAGCAGACUAUUGCAGUUUCAAAUUUUUCAUUCUUCACUUCAUGAAGCAUAACACCUGUGCACUAGACAUCUUAAAAAAACGUAUGGCUAACUUGCUUAACUUGCUUAAAGAAAAUUAGCCAUAUUAAAAUGUAUUUUAAAUGAACGGACAAAACCUGUGUCAAAUUUACAGAUUAACUGGACCAGUUUGUUUGAUCAAGCUCUUGAUCUGCAGUCACAUAUUUUUCAUAACUCCUCAAAACGUGUUCAAGUGAAUGCACGAGCCGAAGGCAAUUGGCAAUUUAUUGCCAUAGAAAUGCACCCCUGCAUACCGUGCGCCACACAAAUUAGCUGAGACGUUGACGGCGAGACACGUCAGAAAAGAACGAAUGCAAAUGACAUGAGAGAGAGAGAGGGGAGAGAGAGGGAGAGAAAAACGGAGAGAGAGAAAGAGAGAAGCGGUAAAUGAGGAAGUCAGAAGCGGAUGUUUGGGUUUUUUGAGCCCAUUCAUUUAAAAAAAAAAAAAAAAAA